UGGGGAAUAUUGCACAAUGGGGGAAACCCUGAUGCAGCGACGCCGCGUGAGCGAAGAAGGCCUUCGGGUCGUAAAGCUCUUUUAUGAGGGAAGAUAAUGACGGUACCUCAAGAAAAAGCCCCGGCUAACUACGUGCCAGCAGCCGCGGUAAUACGUAGGGGGCUAGCGUUGUCUGGAAUCACUGGGCGUAAAGGGUUCGCAGGCGGAAUAACAAGUCAGAUGUGAAAGGCAUGGGCUCAACCCAUGUAAGCAUUUGAAACUGUAAUUCUUGAGAAGUGGAGAGGUAAGUGGAAUUCCUAGUGUAGCGGUGAAAUGCGUAGAUAUUAGGAGGAAUACCUGUGGCGAAGGCGACUUACUGGACACAAAUCUGACGCUGAGGAACGAAAGCGUGGGUAGCAAACAGG
rnacentral:rRNA from 1 species